UACAGAGGGGGCAAGCGUUAUUCGGAAUUAUUGGGCGUAAAGGGCGCGUAGGCGGCCAUUCAAGUGACGGGUGAAAUCCCUCGGCUUAACCGAGGAACUGCCUGUCAGACUGGAUGGCUUGAGACCGGGAGAGGUGAGUGGAAUUCCCAGUGUAGCGGUGAAAUGCGUAGAUAUUGGGAGGAACACCAAUGGCGAAGGCAGCUCGCUGGGACGGUACUGACGCUGAGACGCGAAAGCGUGGGGAGCAAACAGG
rnacentral:rRNA from 1 species